UAUAACCUACCUCUUCAUUCCUUUUUUCCUUCUGCCACUUCCAACUCCAUUGUCAGGUAUAGUUAUUGCCUUCCUUUUGUUUUGUUCUUUCUUCUACUUUGAUUUUUAACUUCAAUUCUAAUUACUUCAUCUCUAGUUAGCUAUAUAAUAUUGCUUUUUAAAUCCCAAUUCUAAUUAUUUUAUGUGUAAUUUUUGAUAAUAUUUAAAAUAAUUAUGAAUAUUUUAAUAAACUUAUCCGUUACAAUAUAGUAGGUACAAUAUAACACAAUACAAUAAAAUAAAAUAGGAUAAACUAUGGGUAACAAUGAGGCAGGAUCUCCGCGAAAGAUUUCAAAAAUAUAUUUUUGUAGCUAGUAAGAAUUGAACCUAUAACCUUAUGUAUAUUUUGAAACCCGCUUGACCAAUAAACUACACUUUUGGAUUGUGUUAAAGGUGUUCAAAACUUAAUAUAUAGAUAUAAAAAAUAGAUUUUGGACUUGUAUAUAAUUUCCCCUGAAUCCGCCCUGGUAACAAUGACAAAUCACUCCGGGCGGGAAACAACUUUUUAAUUCUGAUAACUGAAUUCCACCAUCUAGUCAUUGGAAAACAAUCUCACAUUCUUCAAAUUGAAAGUUAAUUGGUUGGAUUUGAAGGAAAACAGCCGCAAAUUCCUCUCUAAUCCUCAAAUCGCACAACGUCAGACUUAAUAAGUCCACUACCUCAUAAUCAGUUUGAUAUCCAAGUGGUGAAACCACUCGUUUUAGAGAAAUUUUCCAAGUUAUGUGAUGCAUAAAGAUGAGCAAGUGGAUACAGCCAAAUCAACCAAUUCUUGCAACCAUAAAUAUGACGGCAAAAUUAUGUAGGAUUUGCAUCAGGUAUUUGCUUUUACAUGUAUUAUUUUAAAUCUAUUCAAUUUCUUAAAUGUAUUCACAUUUUAGCCGAAGACAGCAAUUUCAGACAGAACUGCCUUGCUUUGCGAAAAGUGACAGGUCAGUCUUUGAGAUGGGCAGCGGCCAAUGCCACUUUGUGGCACAAGUUGGGUGAGUUAGGUUGAGGGGAUUGGAAGGCAUAAAAAGUGCAUAGAAAAACACUGAACUUACUGCCAACGUCUCUUUUUGUCUCAAACACUGAAUUGAAAGUUGUUUGUUGGAUUAUUUCAAGGAAAAAGUCAUAAAGGGAUAGACAACAACCCUAUCUCCUAGUCCUCUUUCAUCUUCAAACCGCACAACGUAUCAGGUAUUAAAAUCCCCAACUCUUCUCUAUAUUACUAUCAUUAUGAAUUGAAUAUUUUUCCUAAUCAUAACAUCUAAUGGGUCAAUUUCACAAAUGGUAGUAUGACUUUUUUUCAUCAAAGUCAUAUAACUAUAUUUUCUCACACAAAAAUCAUUAAAUUUUCAAUAACAACAAC